rnacentral:rRNA from 1 species
GAUGAACGCUGGCGGCGUGCCUAAUACAUGCAAGUCGAGCGAACGGACGAGAAGCUUGCUUUUCUGAUGUUAGCGGCGGACGGGUGAGUAACACGUGGAUAACCUACCUAUAAGACUGGGAUAACUUCGGGAAACCGGAGCUAAUACCGGAUCAUAUUUUGAACCGCAUGGUUCAAAAGUGAAAGACGGUCUUGCUGUCACUUAUAGAUGGAUCCGCGCUGCAUUAGCUAGUUGGUAAGGUAACGUCUUACCAAGGCAACGAUGCAUAGCCGACCUGAGAGGGUGAUCGGCCACACUGGAACUGAGACACGGUCCAGACUCCUACGGGAGGCAGCAGUAGGGAAUCUUCCGCAAUGGGCGAAAGCCUGACGGAGCAACGCCGCGUGAGUGAUGAAGGUCUUCGGAUCGUAAAACUCUGUUAUUAGGGAAGAACAUAUGUGUAAGUAACUGUGCACAUCUUGACGGUACCUAAUCAGAAAGCCACGGCUAACUACGUG